GUGGUGGCCAGGGCGAGCCCGAGAGCUCUGCACCUACAAUCUCGGCUGACAGUGAUUCAUGCGCUUGUGACUCUAGCCAACCGUAAACCUCCGAUGCUAGAUUGUGCAGGGAACAGCGCAGAGGAUGGAUCCACCCGCACGUCGUUUCCCAGUUUCCCUAUCUGGUGCUUUACAGCUUCAGGGCUCAGGAAUUUCAGCCUUUCCUGCUUCAUUGGAUUCCAUUUCAAACCCUUCGGUGGACUGUAAGCAUGUCCACUUCCUUCCCAGCCGCAGACCCCCAAAGAGAGGUUGGAUGAGUCUGGUGCGAGUUCUAGUGCCUGGGGCCCAGCAGAGCUCCGGAUGCAGAGGGCUACGAAGUCCCCGCUGCGUCGAAUCCCCAGGAGCAGAUUAUAGGAACGGUAGGAACGACCAGCCCUAGAGUUGCUUUGACAUUGGGGGUUGGGGGAGGGACGGGCGUUUGCCUGGGGAUGGAAUUAUUCCUGAUGGUUUAUUUUAAGACGUGAACUCUAGAACGCUGCAGCGGCUGCUGCGAUACAUAGCUCCCGGAGUCAGGCAAGCAGCCAAAUUGCGAGGACUCUAUGAAGAAGUAAGACUGGUUCCAACCAGUUAUCGUUCUUUUUCUUUUCUUUUCUUUCCUUUUUUUUUUUUUCUUUUUAAUUUUUUUUAAGCAGUGAGAUCCUGAAGCGCUUGUCUCUCCAUUCACAAUUCUUAGCAGGCUGCCUCUGGCAUUUUCCACUGCAGCACCAGAUCUGCGAGGCAGACGCCUUCUCCCAGAAGACCCAGGAUGGGGGCCCUGGCAGCCACACGGAUUCCUGCCAUGGGACCUCUAAUAUGUAGGGUGGGUGGAAGCUGACUUGACUCUUCCAGGAUCCUUCCCGGCCACUCAGAUUUAGAUCCAUCAAUUAAAAAAUUAAUGUCACAACUAUUGCCAAACAAAAACACACGGCUAAGAAAGAUGGCAAAUAAUUCAACUGAGACCAAGGAGGGUGCUAUCCUUCUUUACACUUUCAGAUAUCGCUUGAACUUUGUCAUCCAAUACUCCUCGCUCAGUACCUAUUCUUGGCAGUCUUCAUACCACAAAGUGUCGCGGACGUGGUGUAGGAAGAGAAGGGGGCAGGACGAGCUGUUUUCCCUUCAGUGUUAAAUCUGGAACCCCACCCCUCCCCCGCCACUGAAGCAGACGUGCAGAAAAAGUCCCCCCAGACUGGCUACCAAGCUGCGCCGUAGACUGUGAGACGAAGGAUGAGAGAGAGGGGCUUUCAGUGCUUCGGGAAGAUAAGGUCCUUGAAUCUUGGAGGAAUUUAGCCUCUUUUCCUCACGUCAGCAAUUGCUCCUUGUUUGUCACCUGCAGCCCCACUCACCUGGAGGGAGAAGAAGUGGACCCCAGAGGUCCCUGGGGAAGGCCCUCCAUCCCCUACUCCCGAAGGCCAUUUAAGAUUUGCUUAGUUCUGGGGAAAGUCACAAAAGAUACUAGUGUGAAAAUAGAUCCAAGGUCAGGCGCAGAGAAGCUCCGAAAUUUCAACUCUCCCUUUUCAUAAAUAUCAUUCCGAAUGUGUUAAAAACUACGUCGUUUUUAAGGUUUUGGGAUUUCUGAUGCUACACUUGAGAUAUUGAGAUCAGGUAUGAUUUAUGCUAGUUAUGUGGCAGAACACCGUGGGGAGGGGGACUAAAAGAAGAGUUUCCAAAAGAACAUAUAUGCCACUUAACAUAUACGCCGCUUAAUCCAAAAGGCUCCCAUGAUUUUUAUGGGAGCAAUUGCAGUUAAGAAAUUACACUUAAAAUUAAAUAAAAUUUAGUUCUCUUAGUCAUUUUACAGUUUUUCUAAACUUAUGUCAUUUGGUUAUAGAAUUUUACUUUGCAGAAAAAGUAUUGCUUUUUUAUCAAAUUAUAGCAUCAUAGUAGCAAACAGUAUGUCCAGCUUUUAAACACAGUUAUUUUAAAACAAAAUGUUUUCAACUACCUGGGAGGAUAUACACAACAGAAAAAAAUAAGGUUAUAUUUUAGAAAUUAUAAUCAUUCCCCUCUGUUCUUUACCCCAGGAAAGAACAGCUAAAUUUGGGUUUCACACCUUUUUCUUUUUAAUUCUCAGGCAUGGGUUGGAAAAUAAUCAAUGAAUAUUUGCAAGAAAACAUUAAACAGCAUGAAGCAUGAUAAAAAAUGCCUGUAUAAAUCUUCCUAGAAAGACUAAUCUAUCACACAUUUCAUAUGUAACCUUAUUAAACUGUCAUUUAUUACUAUUGUACUUUUAUGAAAUUCACUUAUGAUAUUUAUAGUUUGUAUCAAAAUGGGAAAAUGUAAUUAAUACCACUUACCUUAAUUCAAAGCUCUCCCCAAUGAGAGAAUUUUUGCCUAAAUAGCAAAUAUUAAAAUUUAAAAUUUGAAAGAAUUAGCUACUUGAAAGUGUUUCCUGCAACUUUAGAAUUUGUAUUUCUGGGGUUUAUUUCUAUACUUCACAUGGGUGAAUAAUUGGGUGACCCUCACCAUUUUCCCCAUAUAAGCCAUGCAUAUUAAGGAAGAGAAAUUAAUUUUGAAAUUCUUAUUUAUUUUUGAAGUGAUAGAUGUUAUUGUUAUAGUGAGGUAAGUAAGCUAAAAUCUUUGUAGUUAACAAUAAUGGAGCAGAUUUAAGUCCUACUCUAUUGUUGACAUUGAAAGGCAAGAGCUAUGAUCAAUUGAUUUUUUUAAUAAAUGUGUAUUGAAUGCUUUGGUCAGCAUAUCUGUAUAAUGUGUGUUCUCAACAGUUUUUAAAUAAAUAUUAACAUUGGGAUUAUAGAGCUAGCUUUAUUCCGAACUAAAGAGGACUUCUGGAAACCCAGCAUAAGAGAGUAAAGAUAUCUACCACACACAUUCACAGCCCAAACUUCCUAUCCCCAGUGAAGCAAGAAUAAUCCUCUUAUUUCAUUAAAAUGGUCACUAACCUUAUAAAAAGAAAGGAAUGUUCUAAUCUCUUACCUGAAGGAGUCUUGUCAAUGUAACAGGAACUGAUAUUGUGACUGCUCUGUGCUGCCUGUUACAGUACAGAGUUCUGUACAGCAUUGCUUUUGUGAAGGCUGAAGUAAUAAUGUAUGACUAUGGCCUCCCGGGACCCUUAUGAAAAUGAGAUAUGUAGCUGGUUCAGAUGAAUGCUGUAGACUUCAACCUGAGGAUAUAGUUGAGAAAAACAUACACUAAAACAUAAUUAAAAUGUUAUUCUUAACUAUAGUGCUUGCAUGUUUGUUAUUUGGUAUGUGCAUGUUAAUGUUAUAUGAAAUCUAUGUUAAGAAAUUAUAGUAGUUAUGUAAGUGUUACUCAAACUUUGUUUUAUGUCAGAGGGGCAAAAAUUGCCUUAGAAAGCAACUGGCUUCAAAGUCUUCAGAGACUGUAUAUUUUAAUUAAUAACCCCUCCCCCCGGCACCAGACAGUGGUGGAAAUCGAAUCCAGGUCCUUGAGCACCCUGGAUAAACACUCUACCACUCUGCAGCUCCCUAGUCCACAUCUUUCUCUUUCUUAAAAAAAAUUCUGCUUCUUCACAUGUGGCUUUUAAAGUUUUUCUGUUGUGACUCUGUAUUUAAGGUGUUUUCCAUUGACUCUAUCAAAAUAAAGUAAUUGUUAUUUGGGGAUAUUAUAUUUACUUGAAAAUGUGUGCAUAUUUGUUUAAAACUAUGAGCUCUGGGAAGAAUUUUAAUUCUAUGAAAUAUAAAAUGAGUUUUAUGUAAUGAACAGCUACUGUUUC
rnacentral:lncRNA from 1 species